UGAUACCCCCAAGGGAAGUCGAAUCCCUGUCGCCUCCGUGAAAGGGAGGUGUCCUAGGCCACUAGACGAUGGGGGC
rnacentral:tRNA from 1 species